GAUGAAGAACGUAGCGAAAUGCGAUAAGUAAUGUGAAUUGCAGAAUUCAGUGAAUCAUCGAAUCUUUGAACGCACAUUGCGCCCCUUGGUAUUCCGAGGGGCAUGCCUGUUCGAGCGUCAUUAUAACCCUCAAGCUCAGCUUGGUGUUGGGGCCUGCUGCAGUGGCAGCCCUUAAAAUCAGUGGCGGCGCCAUCUGGCUCUAAGCGUAGUAAUUCUUCUCGCUAUGGAGUCCUGGUGGAUGCUUGCCAUCAACCCCCAAUUUUUCUAUGGUGGACCUCGGAUCAGGUAGGGAUACCCGCUGAACUUAAGCAUAUCAAUAAGCGGAGGA
rnacentral:misc_RNA from 1 species